AGCCUGAACCAGGCAUGCCGUGUGCAGGAUGACAGUCCUACGGAUUGUAAACUGCUUUUCUGCAAGAACAAAUGUUCCGACGUGUCGGGAUCUGACGGUAUUGCACGAAUAAGCAUCGGCUAACUCCGUGCCAGCAGCCGCGGUAAUACUGAGGAUGCCAGCGUAAUCCGGAUUCAUUGCGUCUAAAUGGUGCGUAUGCGGAUUAGAUAGUCAAAGGUGAAAGCCUGCAGCUUAACUGUCAAAGUGCCUUUGAUACUGCUAAUCUUGAGUACAGUUGAGGCGAGUGGAAUGUGUAGUGUAGCGGUGAAAUGCAUAGAUACUACACAGAACACCAAUUGCGAAGGCAGCUCGCUAAGCUGUUACUGACGCCCAGGCACGAAAGCGUGGGGAGCGAACAGGAUUAGAUACCCUGGUAGUCCACGCUGUAAACUAUGAUCACUAGCUGUUGGCGAUAAAUUGUCAGUGGCUCAGCGAAAGCGUUAAGUCGAUCCACCUGGGGAGUACGAUCGCAAGGUUGAAAAUCGAAGGAAUUGACGGGGGCCCGCACAAGCGGUGGAACAUGUGGUUUAAUUCGAUGAUACGCGAGGAACCUUACCUGGGAUUAAAUGUAGCGAGACGUCUCGAGAAAUCGGGAUUCCCUUCGGGGCGAAAUACAAGCUGCUGCAUGGUUCUCGUCAGCUCGUGCCGUGAGGUAUCGGGUUAAGUCCCAUAACGAGCGCAACCCUUAUUGUUAGUUGCCAUGCGGAUAAUGCCGGGGACUCUAACUUCACUGCCCGUGUAAACGGGAGGAAUGGUGGGGAUGACGUCAAAUCAGCACGGCCCUUAUGUCCAGGGCUACACACGUGUUACAAUGGCUGGAACAAAGGGCAGCUACCACGCAAGUGGAUGCUAAUCUCUCAAUUCCAGUCCCAGUUCGGAUCGUAGUCUGCAAUUCGACUUCGUGAAGAUGGAAUCGCUAGUAAUCGCGCAUCAGCAAUGGCGCGGUGAAUAUGUUCCCGGGCCUUGUACACAAUGCCCGUCAAGCCAUGGAAGUUAGUAGUACC
rnacentral:rRNA from 1 species